rnacentral:lncRNA from 1 species
UUAAGUCCGAUAUCUAAAAUAACAAAAGGAAAGAAAUAUAGUAUCACUGUAUCAAUAACAUUUUUUAUCUGAAAUGCUAAAAUGGAUGAAAAAGCUAGGUACAUACUUUCAAAAGUAAAACCACGGAAGCAAAUUUGUAAAAUAGCCAUUUUAUAUAUAACAGAGUUGAAGAUGAGUAUUGUCUUAUUGAUACCUUUGUUGCUGAUAAAGCUUUCAUCUCCCAUUCUUUAUUGAAAAGUUAAGCUUUGAAGCAUGCGCACACAGGGCAGAGCCAUUUACAACUUAAAAUAUGUGAAACAAAAAAAAUUAAAAGAUUAUUAAUUUAGAAUAAGAACAAACUAACGAACCACGGCCAGUGAUGGAGCUUUUAAUCAUAAACCUAUAUGGAUAUUUUGCUUUCAUCAAAGAUCUAGAGAAUAUGAAAACAUGGAAAAGCAGAAAGAGAGAUGAAAGGAGAAAAAUAUAUUAAUAGAGAGUAAAACUAAUAGGUCAACAUUAUAUAAAUAAUAAAACAGUUUUUAAUCGUGAUUUCUAGUUUUGAACGUGGGAGUGAUAUCUGAGGAAAUUCAGGGAUUUUUAGUUAUUUAGAAUUUCAGAAAUUAAGAUCAAAACUA